rnacentral:ncRNA from 2 species
GUCGGUAGCAUUCUGUGCGUUGGUCCAGGGAACCCGGUGAGAGUCCGGGGCUGUCCCGCAACGGUGUGACCUUUUCGCCCCUCGGCGCCGCGGCGCCCCCGCGGGCGAGGUCGAGCCCGAUACCUGCCGAC